rnacentral:rRNA from 1 species
UACAGAGGGGGCAAGCGUUAUUCGGAAUUAUUGGGCGUAAAGGGCGCGUAGGCGGCUUUGCAAGUGACGGGUGAAAUCCCUCGGCUUAACCGAGGAACUGCCUGUCAGACUGCAUGGCUUGAGACCAGGAGAGGUGAGUGGAAUUCCCAGUGUAGCGGUGAAAUGCGUAGAUAUUGGGAGGAACACCAGUGGCGAAGGCGGCUCACUGGACUGGUACUGACGCUCAUGCACGAAAGCGUGGGGAGCAAACAGG